UUUUUUUUUGUUAUCUCAGAUCUACUCAAUAAAAGCCUCGAUCAGUACGUAGCUAACAUGUUAGGAAAAAAAACAGGUUUCCGACGAUCCUGGUGAAAGGACCGUUCGGAGCCCCGGCCCAGAACUACAACAAGUACGACAUAUUGUUGCUGGUUGGACUAGGAAUUGGAGCCACUCCUAUGGUUAGCAUUUUAAAGGAUCUCCUGAAUGGGCUCAAACCAAUGAAGCCAGUAAGCCAAUCGAAUCUAGCUAGAUUUUUAAAAUCGAGAAAUAAAAUAAACAGAUGGUAAAAAUUGGAAAUUGCAGGGAGAAUUUUCAGUGGAGGCGGCAACGAAGAAGUACCCAGAGAGAGCCUACUUCUACUGGGUUACAAGAGAACAAGCAUCCUUCGAAUGGUUUAAAGGAGUCAUGGACGACAUUGCCGAGUAUGACCGAAAUGUGAGCUUGCUUACGCUUUCUUUCUUCUUCUUUCUCUGUUUCAAUUUCCGCGAGUCUACUAAUAUGAAGAAAAGAAAAAAUUCCUUGACAACAACAGCAUAUAAUCGAGAUGCACAAUUACUUGACAAGCGUGUACGAGGAAGGAGACGCUAGGUCAGCACUCAUUGCCAUGGUCCAGAAGCUUCAGCACGCCAAGAAUGGUGUCGAUAUCGUCUCCCAGAGCCGAGUACGUACUAACUAGGCGCAUGCAUGCAUGCAUGCAGUGGACAUUCAUCUGGUUGAAUUAAUCAAGCUAUUUUAUUUUAUUAUGAAUUAAAAAUCCAAUUUGCAGAUAAGGACACACUUUGCAAGACCCAACUGGAAAAGGGUUUUCUCUGAGCUGGAGAAGGCGCAUCCGUCUUCUCAUAUCGGUACGUAUACUAUUGCAGUGUAAAGAAAAAGGAAUUAAUUGUGUUUAUGAUUAAUUAAUUAAUUGAAUUGGGUGCAUGCAUGGAUGGAUGCAGGGGUGUUCUACUGUGGUAGUGUAGCGCUAGUGAAGACAUUAAGGGAGCUGUGCCAGGACUUUAGUCUCAAUUCAACUACCAGGUUCCAUUUUCACAAGGAGAACUUCUGAAGCAUCAUUUCUGCAUGCUGGGACUGGGAUCCAUCGUGUUUAUCUUUUGUCUUUGUCUUUUGCCUGUUUCUCCUCAUUUUUGUUUAAUCGGUCGUUUUGGAUCAUUAGAAAAAAUUGGUGUAUGCAUAGUUGUACGUAAUCAAAAAAAGAGAAUUAUAGAAUUUAUAUGUGCAGGCUCAGUAAGUCAUUAGUUAAGACUUAAUUAAGAAGGCUGGCCUGACUAUAAAUAUUUGUAUAUAGCCUACAUUUUGGUUACCAAAAAUCACAAACAAAAUGGUAGUUUUUCUUUAAUCUCCAGGAAAUUUGUUCCUUGAUCAAAGCCAACAAUAUUUCAGCCAUUGGUUAUUUAACCCUCGGAUCCAAUGGCUCCGAGUUAAUGGUGAAAAAUGUGUAAUUUUAAUAACAUCUUUUUAUCAAUGAGAUUUUCUCCACUCGCAAAGUGACACAGAGCUCAUGUGAUACUUUUGUAAUUUAAAUAAUAAUAUUAUUGAUAGGAGAGGGAUGUUUACAAGUAUAAAUUUAUACUUGUUGCAAGUUAAAAUAAUAAUCUUAUUUGGGACCAAUUUUUUCACAUUUAUUUAAUUAUUUGAAACCAAAUUUUCACAUAUACAUUUUUGUUGUUAAUAAAAUAAUAUAUAUAAUAUGAAUAAGAUAUAAAUAUUUCACUCGUGUAGGUCCACUUUUACAAUUAUUUUUGGAUUGCAUUGGAAAUGUUAUGGAACUUAAUAAUACAAAAUUACAAAACAAAAUAAGGUGAAAGUAGGCUUGACACCCAUGAGUGAAUAACGGUACCCCAGCUGAAUCGGUCCAGUCAACGUGGGUAAUAAUCGUUUUGACCCCGCCCCGGGUCGAAUCCGGGAAAAUCCAAUCCGUUAUCUUUUAUCCAACAGAUCGGGGACGGUAUUGCAACUGUCCGCCCCGCACAAAAUCCCCGAUCCGGCUGUUUAGUGAAAUCGAUGCCGUAUAUGUUGGUCAUUAGUUAUCGUUGCUGGCUUGUUAGAUAAUAAGCAUUCAUUUCAUGCUUUGUUUCCUUCUUUCCCAUGGUCACCUGGCACCCAAUACCAACCGCACAACACCAGAAGGAAAGCUAAAAACAGCACCCAAAACACAGAUACAAUCCAAAACAAGACUCAACCGGGGUCAAAAAUAAGCUGCGUCCAAAGUCAAUAUCUGUCGCCAUUGGAAAAACCUUCCGCAAGUAACCAUGAGCCAACAUUCAUCAUGAUUCUAGCAGCCACAACAGUUUAUGCUUUCUCUUUUCCGUUGAAAAUCCUCUCAUUUCUCUCGAGCCAAAUGUACCACAAGGUCGCGUGUAAGAUGAACUUCAUUCCGUCGUGAUAGGAGGGCUGGCAGUUCAAACUCUUCCACGACGCAAAGACCUCCUGAAUGUGAGUUUGUAAUGGGCCGAAUAUGGACAAAGUUGAGCUAAUAUCAUUCCACGAUGACGCAGAGAAAGCACAUUCCGAAAAAAGAUGAUCCACUAUUUCAACUUGGGACUUGCAAAACACACACAUAUAUUCGGCAAAUUAAAACCUCUCCUUUGGAGGUUAUCUUGGGUAGCAAUUUUCUUGUGAUACACACACCAACAAAAGCUCUGAAUCUUGAUAGGGACUCCGGCCAUCCAAAUCGUGGUAGUAGGAAAAUGGUUUAGACCCAGGAACUUUCCAGCAAUCAACUCAUUCCGCAAUGACCUGACAGAGAAAACACCACUCCUCUCCAUUGACCAAAUAAGAGCAUCGGGACCAGCAGUAAUAAACUCCAUCAAAAGGUUGUCCAAACAUUAUAGAAGAUGGUUUAAUUCGAUCAAAACGCCGCCUCUCAGAUUAGUGGUGAGAGAAAUGCUCCAUGAACGCCUACCAACAAGCACAAACAUGUCAGAAACACGAGAAUCCAAAGAUUGUGCAGCUGCAACAAUCCUUAGAUAAAAAUCACUCAACCUCACCCACGAAAUCCAAAGAUCGAACCAAAAAGUACUCAUCCCCCACCCUCUUGGAUCAAUAUAGCCGUACUUCCAAAAAAGAGAACAAGACGAAACCAAAAUUUUCCACAUAGAACAAUCGUUAGAACCUAACUCCCACAUUGGUCUCCACAUGGACGUGCCCACACCGCACUUGGCGACAAUCAGACCCCUCCAAGGCGUUUCUUUCGAUCGCAUAUCUCCAAAUCCACUUACAAAGCAAAGACGAGUUCAAAACUCUCAAAUCAAUAAUACCCAGACCACCACGGUCUAUGGGAGUUUAACUAUUUGUGAGUCGACCCAGUGAAUCAUAUCCUUAUCCACACUACUUGCCCGAAAGAAGCGAUUCUAAAUUCUUUCAAGUCUAGCAAUGACCUCAUCGAUUCAUACUUCUCCAACCCAUAAACCAAAGUAGCAAUUUUGGGCAUCCUACGAAGAAUCUAUUGUAGAUGAGUACUUUGGGAAAGUAAAACUCACUACGACCUACUCUUUUCUGCUAAUUGUGGACAUAAUUUGUAUCGCACUUAAAUUUUUUUAAUGAAAUGAAAUCUAAUUAUUCAUAACAAAAAAAUAGAAUGUGAUUCAACUUUCUUUUUUAAUUUCAAAUGUUAUUCUUGUUAUUUUCUUAUUUGUAAAGAGAAAAAUGUUAGAAUCAUCACCCUACAAAAAAAAUAUGUCUUUCGACAUAACAUAAACAUAACAUCCCCACACUUUGAAUCUAACAAGGUUGCUCUAAAUAAAUCUCAAAAGCACAACUCUAUGGCUUCAUAUGAGUUUAUCAUGUUGUCGUACCUGUUGUAAAAUUUUGGUGCAGCAUCCGGCAAUCCGCAUCUUGUUACAAUACAUUACUUGUGUUGAAACAUUUUUUCUGGACCAUUAAUAUUGCAAUCAAUAAGCCAAAGUUUGGUGUCUUUGGCAUCCACACACACCACUAAAACAGAUAUGGAUCUGUCUUCUACUACUUCAUUCCUCAAAUCUUUUUUUUUCAGUAAGUACUAUUCCUUUCGCUCUUCUCUUCACAUUUCUCUUCACCUUUCUCCUAGCUUUUUUCUUAACUCUUAUCUUCACUAUUCUUCACUUCUCUUUUAGAAUCUCGAAUAUCUUUUUCACACGAUCAUCCAUUUUAAAAGGAAAUUAUUUUUCAACUCUCAACACUUCAUCCAAAAAUCCAAAGCCAAAACUCCAAUUUCAUUAUAUACCAUGUGUGUCGUACCUGUUGUAUAAUAUUGGUACAACAUCCGAUAAUCCGCACCUUGCUACAACGCAUUACUUGUGUUGAUACAUUUUUUCUGGACCGCUAAUACUGUAAUCAAGAAGCCAAAGCUUGGUGUCUUUGGAAUCCACGCACACCACUAAAACUGAUAUUGCUCUGUUUUCUACUACUUCAUUUCUCAAAUCUUUUUUUUGGUAAGUACUAUUCCUUUCGCUUUUCUCUUCACAUUUCUCUUUACCUUUCUCCUAGCUUUUUUCUUUACUCUUGUCUUCACUAUCUUUCACUUCUCUUUUAGUAUCUCGAAUAUCUUUUUCACACGAUCAUCCAUUUUGAUUAUUUUUCAACUCUCAACACCUCAUCCAAAAAUCCAAAGCCAAAACUUCAAUUUCAUUAUAUACCAUAUGUGUUGUACAUGUUGUAUAAUUUUGGUGCAGCAUCCGGUAAUCCGCAUCUUGCUACAACGCAUUACUUGUGUUGAUACAUUUUUUCUGGACCGCUAAGACUGCAAUCAAGAAGCCAAAGCUUGGUGUCUUUGGAGUCCAUACACACCACUAAAACUGAUAUUGCUAUGUCUUCUACUAUUUCAUUCCUCAAAUCUUUUUUUUGUAAGUACUAUUCCUUUCGCUCUUCUCCUCACAUUUCUCUUCACCUUUCUCCUAGCUUUUUUCUUAACUCUUGUCUUCACUAUUCUUCACUUCUCUUUUAGUAUUUUGAAUAUCUUUUUCACACGAUCAUCCAUUUCAAAAGGGAAUUAUUUUUCAACUCUCAACACCUCAUUCAAAAAUUCAAAGUCAAAACUCCAAUUUCAUUAUAUACCUAUCAUAAAACCACUCUUCAAUAUCGCAAACUUUCUAUAAAUUUGAUAACAAAGCAUAUGAUUUUUUAAAAAUUUCUUGACAAUUUAUUUUUAGAAGGAUAUAUCCUUNNNNNNNNNNNNNNNNNNNNNNNNNNNNNNNNNNAUGAUAGAAUCAUCACCCUAAAAAAAAAAUAUUUUUGGACAAAACACAAAAAUAUAUUUUUGGAUGCUUUCCUCCUAUAUCACUUUAACAUUAAACCUCAACAUCCCUUCAUAGUAACAUUACAAGCAGAUAUCCAUAACGACUCUACAUCAGGGCACCACUCUACAUCACCCGACAUCUAUAUUGUUCAGAAAGUUACAAAUGAAUACAAGCACAUGCAGAAGAACAUGCGAAAUCCUACAUUUUUUAAGCAAUAGUAACUCUCAUCUACUAUUAUAUAUAGAAUACGUAUGUUUCUGCUCAACUCAUAGAUGAGGAAUAAACAUAACACAUGCAUUUUAAGCGGGAAAGUGAGAUGGUCUUCCCACCAAAAUAUCGAUACAACACUUAUUUACCCGAAUCCUUGUAAUCCUUCAGUCAGUCUGAAUCUCUACUUCCAUUGCUAGCUCCAGCAACUACACUACCAUUCCGAGUCCAAUCUUUUCCGUCUUGGCUCAGUUUUGAAACGAUGAACGAGCAUCUGAAGUACCCACCUUCCGUCAUCGAUCCCUCAAUAGAACUCAAGGAGGUAAUAUUCUAUUCUCUUUAAUUAAUCUGUGUUUGCUAGCAUUUUGCGACCUCACUCGCAUAAUUGCACCUGCUUAUAAAUGUGGGAAAGUGUAAUGUAUCGAUGGAAUCGACAUAGUCUCUGGCAAAUGAUUAUAGUGUUGGAUAAAUUAUUUAGACAAGAAAGGAAUUAAAUGAGAAGAAAAAUAGGAGAAAUAGAGAAGAUGCACAAGCCUUCAAUAGAGAGAAAAUUUGAAUUGUUGUUAAUUGAUUUUGAUACCUCUCCAUUACAAAAUGCUAGGCUUUAUAGCCAUUACUAAUAUGAAAUUGCAAAUAGAUCAUCCUACUUUCUAUUUAGUCUAUUUUUGAUCACUCCCAUUAGUUGGGUCAUUACAAUCCAUCCUCCUUAAAAACAGACGUAUCCUCAAGUCUAAUACAGAAACACAUAACAAAAGUUGGGCACUCAAAGUUGAAACAAUGGCUGCUGAAAUAAUUAUACUGGUAUGUUGCAAUUGAAUCCACUUGUGAACUUGUCCCUCAUUAGUCUUUUUUAUAUACUAUCCUUUCCAUUCUCCUUAAAAUUCGGCUUGUCCCCAAGCCGAUGUUCGAACAAAAGUAGCACACCAAGUUACCGUUGAAUAUCAACAAGCUCCCACAAUACAACAUCAAAUAAGUUACCUCAAGCAAUUUGAGUGUUAUUAACCAACAAAAUAAUCUCUUCCCCACUGUUGAUACAUCAAAAUCCUGUUAAGGCUCCUUGGGUUGAGAAAAUUACCUCUUCCAUGUGAAUCAAUAUUAUACCAACAAAAGAGACCAGACUUGAAUUCAAUACAAACAGCCAAGACCAAUUUUUUUACCCAUAUCCUACCUGUUGACCGCACCUGGAUUUGAUUCCCAUCAUCUAUGCCAUGAUCCAACUUGAUUCUAUGUGCCACCAUCUCACUCACGGGAAGGUCUAGGCCAAAAAGUUCAGCACACUGAAUCUCACCGUCAACAAUGCUAUUGCCAGUUUCAGCCGUGAUUGGAAGUAUGUGAAGGCUUGAGAUUGUGAAACUUCUAUUUGUAGGGAACAUAAAAAAGCAUCACAAUGAACGUAUAAUACCAAUAAAAUUAAUAUUUCCAUCUGACACAAGGUAUAUACCUUCAGAUUUCUUAGACACUUCAGUAACCUUAGGAACCACACCGUUAAACUCGUUGAAACAUCUCAGCUGCUCCUGACUCCAUAGUCUAAACCCAAAACUGCCUCUUUUAUAAGAAACAACAUCAUAACAACGAAAGCAAAGCUUGAAUGCCUCCGCAUGGUUGCUCAACAAUUCAUAGAGAUCAAACAUAGGAAACAACCCAUCACGUUCAAUAAGAGAAGAUGAAGAUUGUAAAUGCUGAAUGAAGCAAGGGUAGAUCAUCUCCAUCAAGAUACGCACCCUCUUCGACAAUGAACUUUGAACCAUACGUGCCAGCUCUUCCUGCAAUUUGCUCGACCUCUAGCGUUGUUAGAUCCCAUAUCUCGACACCAUUGCAAUUUUUCAUAGUUGCAGAGAUAAUCCUGGAGAUAUUCAAGUUCAGGUCCAUCCCAAUUGCAUCAGUUGCCACCUCCCUUGCCAAUAAUUCUCUGACCAGCCUCAACUACAGCUGUUGCAGCUCCUAUGCAAACUGAACAAUCGGUUGCUUCCAUUUCUUCACUCCCCGACCCCAAAUAUCAUUCAUUGGUCUAUAAUCAUGCGAAGGAGAUGCUAGUGGACCUGACAGUUUGAAAUGAAUGAGACUUCCAACACAUGAGCACAUUUGACAUGCACGUAAGCAAUAAUGUGCAAGGCUCAUCACCAAAUUUCCACUACUGUGAUCAAUGUCUAUUUUCUUCCUCACCCCACAAACGUUAAAUGAGCCAAGAUUUGUAUCAUGCAUCUCCCUUUCAGUGAGCUCCAUAUUACGACAAGGAAGUUGCAAAUCAUAAUUCCCAAGAAUCAAGGUUUGAAAAGAAAAUUCAUACUGCACUUGGUAAGCAGAUGCACCUUAAAUGCAUGCCAGUUGACAAUCAAAUUUUGGUACCUUCCAAAAGAAAUCAGUAGUGACAAUUUCCCUCCUUCAAAAGCUGAAUAUCCCAGCAACAGCAAACAAGAUUGUAUUCUACUCCAUAAUGACUAUAGAAUUUCCAUUUCUUCACAUCACGCCCAUAGAGUGUUACAACACAGCCUCCUAUAUUGAAUAUCAACUCACCACCAACCUUAAUCACUGAAGCACACAACAACUUUAAAUCUUCAAAUGAAGAAGAAAGUACCAGUGGAUGCACAUCCUCUGUAUGAGAAGGAUAAUUUGUCAUGGAUUAAGUGCUUGGUUGAGAUGGGAAAAUGAAUUCCACAAGUUGUGGACAUGUAUUGGCACAUCCAACAAGGGAAACAACCAAGGUUGGGGAAGUUGGAAAAGUUAGACUACGGUGGGGAUUUCUAUCGAACACCAGGUGGUGAAAUUUCGGUGGACUAGCUGUAGUAAUGGUGUUGGGAAUAGAAGACCCAAAUCGGCAUAACAUGGCAUGAGAAAACUCGACCCAUGGUAUUGGAAAUCGGCCAUUCUCCCAAUCGAGAAACCAGAAGUACGCCUCAUUCUCAAGAAACCAGCCGGCUUCAUCUACCAUCUCGUUAGCAGGGACUUCGGAGAUGCUGAAGUAUCAAACACAAGCUUCGAGCCAUGAAGACGGAUCAGAAUCACCAGAGAACAUGAGAGGUUCAAAAGAUGGAAGUGGGUUUUCAAUUGGAGUUGGUAGGGGACUUUCUUGGAGCACCUAGUGGGCAAUGUUCAAACUAUUUCCAGGAGAUGUGGAAGCAAAAUGCAACCCGUGAGAAUGGAAACCCAUUGCUGUCGUGGUCGCUACAGGUGUCAAAGAGGUUGUUUGUGGGGAUGGCAGCGGAGGAACCUCCCGCUUUCCACAUAACCGGUCCACCAUUUCCUCCAAUCUGGCCAUGGUCUGCUCAAAACUCUCCAUCUGAACUGUGGGAAGGGGAGCAAAAGUGGAAGUGUUAAUGCUGGUGACAAUGGAAAUAUUGUUCAUAGCAUUGAUACCUCUCUCCAUUACAAAUGUUAGGCUUUAUAGUCCUUACUAAUACGAAAUUGUAAAUAGAUCAUCUUACUUUUUACUUAGUUUAUUUUGGUCACUCCCAUUAGUUGGAUCAUUACAGAAAGGGCCUGGGUUUGCUGUUCCACCGUGUGCUUUGUUGCUUAAAACUUGAACAAGAAAGAUUCCACGAGGGUUUAAGAAGCCUGGGUUUAAGAAGUAAAUAUUGGGGAUUUAGGUUUUUAAAAGAAAUAGAGAGUGGUUUUGUUCGAUUUUGAUUAUCGUAGAAUUUUGAGGUGAGAUUUUAGGGUUACAAUUUGCACCCCAAUUUCAAAUUUAGGUACAAUCUCAAAUUCUAGCUACCUUAGUUUGCUAAUUAGCCGCUCACUCACAGUGCUACUUCUGUCUGCCUAUCUGUCUUUUUCCAUUCCAUCGCAGAAGCAAGAGAUUCGAAGAUGUUGUGGGUGGACAAGUACAGACCCAAAACCCUUGACCAAAUGAUCGUUCAUGAAGAUAUCGCCCAAAACCUAAAGAAAUUGGUAUUCCUUCACUCUAAUCAGACCCAGUUCUGUUACUCUUUCCCUCUUUUUUCAGGCUGGUCUCUUAUUCUUUCUAAUUACACUUUCUGAUUACUCUCCAGGUUGCUGAGCAGGAUUGCCCUCAUUUGCUUUUCUAUGGCCCUUCUGGUGCUGGGAAGAAGACACUGAUUAUGGCUUUGCUCCGUCAAAUAUUUGGCCCCGGUGCUGAAAAGGUCAGACCUUCCUCUGUUUCUUCUUCCUUUGUUUUUGUCUCUUCAUUCUUAAACUGAUUAUUCCAUGUGUAGACAGAUAUAAGAGAAGGAAAUAGUUCUCAGUGUAUUGGUUCUCCUAUUAUGCUAAUGCUUGCUGUUUUGAUGGCAGGUGAAGGUGGAAAACAGGACGUGGAAAGUUGAUGUAAGUUUUAACUUGUUUAUUUCUUCUUUUUUUUUGUUACAUGUAUGAUGCUCCCCUGGUUCUUUUGUUACUUGUAUGACGGUCGGUUGUAUUGCUUCUUGCUUAUCUGUGAUUGAAUAUUUUGGCCUUGAGCCUCUUGGCUUUCAUUCUUUAGUCUAAACCAUUGAAUCAGAACUUUAGUGUGCAAUAUGUUACUGAUAGUCGUCCAAUUCCUUUCUUUUCCAGAGAUGAGCUCCUUGCUAUUAGUUUUUUACCGCUGCAAUGUUUCCCUUAUCUAUGUUUAUGAUGUUUGAUCGGCUUUCCUCUGGUGCUUCAGGCUGGAAGUAGAACCAUUGAUCUUGAGUUGACUACAUUAGCCAGUGCAAACCAUGUGGAAUUAAGUCCUAGUGAUGCAGGCUUCCAGGAUAGAUAUAUUGUCCAGGAGAUAAUCAAAGAGAUGGCCAGGAAUAGGCCAAUUGACACAAAUGGAAAGAAAUCGUAUAAAGGUAGUUUCAGCCUACCUGUUUCCAUGCUUCCGAAAUGCAUUCUCUUUGCUAUUUUUUGUGCUUCCAGUUUAUCUUUCCCCUUCUGCAUUACCUAUUCGACUGUAUUUAAACGAGGUGACAAGUCUAUAAGUGACAUGAACUCAUUGGUUUGCGGAGCUGUUUAUCACACUCAACCACAUACAUUUGUCUGAGCAUUAUUUCGAGUAGGGUAUAUGUAGUUUGAUCAUUUUCAUUGGCCAAUAGGGUUGAUGUAUUUCUGUUUGUGCUGAGAUAUUUUCCUUGUCCAAUCUCAGUGAUAGUUCUUAAUGAGGUUGACAAGCUUUCAAGAGAAGCCCAGCAUUCUUUGCGAAGAACUAUGGAGAAAUAUAGUAGUUCAUGCCGGCUCAUUUUGUGCUGCAACAGUUCUUCAAAGGUUACUGAGGCCAUCCGGUCUCGUUGUCUGAAUGUUCGAAUUAAUGCACCUUCAGAGGAACAGGUAUCAGAUAUUUUCUUCUUCAUGUCCUUCAUUUUUUCUCUAUCAGAUAACCAUCUGUAAAUGGUGUUACUAGUUUUUUUUGCCCCUGCUACUUUGCCUAUUGUUUUACCUAUAGAUAGUUAGGGUUUUGGAGUUCAUUGGGAAGAAAGAAGGGUUGGACAUUCCAUCUGGAUUUGCUGGGCGUGUAGCUGAAAAAUCGAAUCGGAGUUUAAGGAGAGCCAUACUCUCAUUCGAGACUUGCCGGGUUCAACAGUUAAGCUCUACCAACAAUAAUAUAAUAAUACAAUUUGAUGUUUUUGAUAUCAUAAUAAUUACGUGGCUCAUUUUUUAGGUCCCCGCUCACAAGUAAUCAAGCAAUUCCUCCAAUGGACUGGGAAGAGUAUGUUUUUGAAAUAUCGUCUGACAUAAUGAAGGAGCAGAGUCCUAAAAGGUCUGUCCGCAAAUGAACAUUAUGACCAUAACUCGCAAACCAUUAACGUAUUCAUAGUUUUCUGAUCAAACGGCAUUUGGAUUUGAUAGAUUGUUUCAGGUUCGAGGGAAGCUGUAUGAAUUACUUAUCAACUGUAUUCCUCCCGAGAUAAUAUUGAAGGUAGAGAAGUCACUUGUAUAAUCUUUCUCUACUCAUCAUCAUUUUCAAUCCAGAUAACUAAUAUGCAUGCAUAUCCCUUUAAUCAGAGACUUCUUUAUGAGUUGUUGAGGAAAUUGGACGAGGAGUUAAAGCAUGAGGUUUGUCAUUGGGCUGCAUAUUAUGUAAGUUCCGAAGCAAUUUCUCCCCCAUUUUGUUUAGGCGAUGGUGUUGUCUUACAGUACAUGAAGCAUUUCUCCUGAUCCUGUGCUUUUGUAUGCUUUCGAUUCUUUCUGGAACAGGAACAUAGAAUGCGACAGGGGCAGAAAGCCAUAUUUCACCUGGAAGGUAUUGUCAGACACAAAUUUACAGUGUUGUUGAUUUUACUCAUUCAAAUUGUGUGUUUGUGGUCUCUGUUGGAUCGUAAGAAGUUUGUCAUGGAUUUGAAUGUAUGCAGCAUUCGUGGCGAAAUUCAUGAGCAUAUACAAGGCUUUCCUGGUAGCAACAUUCGGGUGAUACGUCAUCAGAGCGGAUUAUCCUUUUUCUGGGUGAAUGAACAGCAAUGUUACGGAAUUGCAGAUCAAGCGAGCCUUUGGGAGAAGGAUCUCUCACUGGUGUCAAAGUCGGAAUUUUCGUGCUGUAAUUUCUUCUGUAGUUUAUGGUUAUCAACCAACCGGUCUUGGAUUGCAACCGAGUAACUUAUUUGCAAGAUGCUCUACUUUUGGCUGACCAAACACACGGUUAAUCCAUUAUGAAUUGGAUGGUGUUGUGAUGAAUAUGCUUGGAGCUUUCCACACAUUUAGCUGGGAAGAAAUAGAUAACGCGUCACAAUGGACGAUAUGGAAUAAGCAAAAUGGUGGGUCGUAGCCCAUUGAAUAAACCAGUAGCUCUAUUCAGUGUGCCAGCUAAGAUAGAUUUAGAUGGAAUAACCCACAUUUAGGCAGGUUAUAUUUGUAUCUACAUCGGGUAAAUUCGUUUAAUUGUGCUAUAUUAAAUGAAUGCAUGAGAAGACUAAUAACCCUAGUGUGAAGCAGAGAUGUACAGCAACCACCAUUGCUGGUUUCUGAUUGUACAAGUUAAAAGGAACGAUAGAAGAAUGUAGAAUACAAUGGUGAAAUCCGGCACCCCAACUAACUUAUUUCCUUAUUUCCUCCACCCGACGACUUUUUUUGUUUUUCCUUUGGGCAUAUCAUGUUCAUCCGCAUUAUGGGACUUAAUCAAAUCCAAAAUAACAGAACAAGUAAGAGAAAAGUGUGAGAAAAUUCCUGGAAUAAGCUGUUGUGUGCUUCCAAAAUUUUGAAAUGAAAGUCUGGAAAAAGGAGCUAUUGUUCGUCUAUUGAUCUCGACAGGCCGGUGGAGAAAAGAAAACGCCAUAUGGUAGUAUGAUGGUGUGAAAUCAUAUACUUGUAUAUUUCAAAUAAAUUCAAAAUGUAAAAUAAAAAGCUUAAAGCCCUGAAAGGGAUGAGGUAGAGAAUCGAAAUGGUGGUGGGUUUUAAAAGCUGUGAUUAGCUGUCUCUUCUUGUCUUAUUAGCUGUCUUCCUCCUUUUUUCUGUACUAUUUCUUCUCCUUCUUCUUCUACCCUCUAUUUUCACCUCUCCGAUCCCAAAAACCCAUUUCUCCAAACAAGCUAAAGAUUCAACCUUUGAGUCUGGCCUCUGAGGAAAGACAGUGAAUGUCUCAUAUCAGAUGAAGAUGAAGACUACCCAUUUCUUCCCCCUUCUUCUUCUUCUUCUUCUCUUCAUCCUCUGCCUCUCUUCUUCCAGCCAUGGAUCUCUCACGGAAGCCGAGGUUUCCCACUUAACCACCCGCCAGCUUCUUUCUUCCAAGGAUGAUUCCGGCGAAAACAUCACUGUCCCUCCCGGUUUCGUCUUCGAAAACCUCAGGCUUCGCAAUGCUUACAUUGCAUUGCAGGCUUGGAAGGAGGCUAUCAUCUCUGACCCGUUCAAUAUCACUGGAAAUUGGGUGGGUUCCGAUGUCUGCAGCUACACUGGAGUGUUCUGUGCACCCGCACCGGACAACAAAACCAUCAGAACCGUCGCCGGAAUCGACCUCAACCACGCCGACAUCGCCGGCUACUUGCCGGAGGAACUUGGCCUACUCACCGAUUUAGCCUUCAUCCACAUCAAUUCCAACAGAUUCUGCGGAACUGUUCCUCGGAGCUUCAAAAAUUUCAGCCGGAUGUACGAGCUCGAUCUCAGCAACAAUCGAUUCGCCGGGAAAUUCCCCGCCGUCGUCCUCCGAUUGCGUAAGCUGAAAUUUUUGGAUAUCAGGUUUAACGAAUUCGAAGGCAGUGUCCCUAAGGAAUUGUUCGAUAAGGAUCUGGAUGCGAUUUUUAUCAACAACAAUCGAUUCCGCUUCGAGCUCCCAAAGAACUUCGGGAACUCGCCGGUUUCCGUGAUUGUAGCGGCGCAUAACGAUUUCCGUGGGUGUGUUCCUUCCAGCUUGGGGAAUAUGUCUAAUUUGAACGAGAUUGUACUGAUGAACAACGGCUUCAGGUCGUGCUUUCCGCCGGAGAUUGGCAGGCUGAGGAAUGUGACGGUGUUCGAUGUUAGCUUUAACCGGAUUUUAGGUCCGUUGCCGGGGAGUAUUGGGGGAAUGGUGAGCUUGGAGUGGCUGAAUGUGGCUCAUAAUUUGUUGUCUGGGAAGAUCCCAGCGGCGAUUUGUCAGCUUCCGCGGCUGCGGAAUUUUACCUUUUCUGAUAACUUCUUCACCGGCGAGCCGCCGCAGUGCUUGGCUUUGCCGACUGUUGAUGACAAGAGAAAUUGUUUGCCGAAUCGGCCGGAGCAGAGGUCUACUGGGCAAUGCCAAGCGUUUCUUUCCAAGCCGGUUAGGUGUAGUGCUUUUAGAUGUGCUCCGUUUAUUCCGUCUCCUACUCCGCCGCCACCUCCUCCAGUUUACUUGCCUCCGCCGUCGCCAGCUCCACCACCACCGUCGCCAANNNNNNNNNNNNNNNNNNNNNNNNNNNNNNNNNNNNNNNNNNNNNNNNNNNNNNNNNNNNNNNNNNNNNNNNNNNNNNNNNNNNNNNNNNNNNNNNNNNNNNNNNNNNNNNNNNNNNNNNNNNNNNNNNNNNNNNNNNNNNNNNNNNNNNNNNNNNNNNNNNNNNNNNNNNNNNNNNNNNNNNNNNNNNNNNNNNNNNNNNNNNNNNNNNNNNNNNNNNNNNNNNNNNNNNNNNNNNNNNNNNNNNNNNNNNNNNNNNNNNNNNNNNNNNNNNNNNNNNNNNNNNNNNNNNNNNNNNNNNNNNNNNNNNNNNNNNNNNNNNNNNNNNNNNNNNNNNNNNNNNNNNNNNNNNNNNNNNNNNNNNNNNNNNNNNNNNNNNNNNNNNNNNNNNNNNNNNNNNNNNNNNNNNNNNNNNNNNNNNNNNNNNNNNNNNCCCGCCACCGCCACCGUGUGUAGAAAACCCACCCCCACCGGCGGCAGAACCUUACAAACCACCACCGCCAGUCAUCCAUCCAUCUCCGCCGCCUCCCAUAUUUUAUCCAUCACCACCACCGCCAGCAAUUAAGUAUGCAAGUCCGCCACCCCCACCGCCUGAAUACAUGGGGCCAUUGCCACCAGUGACAGGAAUCCCAUACUCUUCACCUCCACCUCCGCCUUUCUCUUUGUUCUGUUCAAUAUGCAUUGUUCUAAAUUCGAAUUGUUAUCAUCAAUCGAGUCCAUAAAUAUAAUAUUUCAGAUAGAUCAGAGAGUUACUUUUAGAGAAUUGCAGGGGAAUGUUUUGUCUGUAUAGAAGUGAAGGGCCUAUUUUUAUUAUUUUUGUUUCCAUGUCAUAUCUUCUUCUCCUCUAGAUUUGUUUUCAAGGUUCUUUUUGUUAAGCAAUUUAUGAUUAUUUUAUAAUACAUACAAAAUUUUACUCGUAUUUUCAUUAUUCCCAGUAUUCAGAUCUCUGUUCGAAUAUUGAGUUCUUAACUACCAACUCCUUGAUGAUUCUGCGACACGCUCCUAAUAACCUUUUGGCCAAGGAACACGUCUUCAUCUUUUUUCCUGAGGAAUCAACCAAGAAAUCAAAAUGAUCCGAAUUUGCAAUUCAAAAGGUUGUAAAGCAAGCAGUAUUAAUGUGUCGAAAAGGUAAACUGACAGUCAUGAGCAAGCAAGAAAGGCCACAGCUUUAGCAAAUCCUCAACACAAUCCAAAUGCCAUCUUUUAACAAUAUCUUAUCUCAAAUGAUUAUUAUAUAUACAUACAAAACCGAAUUAAAGGGAUCGAUCGGCAGUCACAGUUCAAUCAUUAGUAAUUUUUUUUGCUUUCUGGAGACACAUGUUUGUUUUCCUGAAUGAAUCUAGACAAGAGUAUAUAUGCACAUUUGUCAAAUUGUGCUGUGACUAAUGAUAUCUUUCAUGCUUCAGUUCAGACAGCCACUGUCUUUCUGUCAAUUACGAUGCCAAACCACGAAGUGACCUUGAUUGAAUUUACAUUUGUUGAACUCAUGUAUUGUACUUUGUCGCUUGCCCGUCACAUUUGAUGGUGAACUGAUGGUUAUUCUAUUCAAUCUUUUAAAAGGGAAACGCUUUUUAUGUGCCAUAAAGUUCGAGAUGGAUAAGGCCUAAGGGUACCUUGGUAGCUGUCUUUAAGUAUAAAAUGAGUUUAUGGGAUGAGACUUGGCCAGUCCAGCUCGAUUGGUGGUCUAGCAGGCAUUUCGGUCUGGGAAAUCGAUAUGUUUUUGGAGUUAGUUCAUGGUUGCAUGUGCAAUCGUCCAAAUCCUAUACGUCUGGAAAUCUCUUCGACCGGUUCCUCGCAAUGCAUAUCAUAUAGGGUAGAGAGCGUCUGUACAUGUAUAUGAGCGGGAGACUGAGAAGUAUUGGGGGUGCCAUAGAAGCAGUAUAGAUCCUUAACUCUUUCCAGAGUAAGAUAGAGACAUAGGAAAAUCAACCUUAAACAAUAAACGAACCAAAUUUCCCAAUAGCAACUUAAGAUGCACUUGCUUCAGAUUCCCCAGCUGAAAGAACUGUUCUUGGAGGAAGACAGUGGACUGAAAUCAACAAAACCCAAAAGCUUGAACGAACAAAAGGCAAAAUCCAGAGAUUUGAGCAAUGGCUUCCAAUUCCGAAGAUGCUAUGAUUCUCUUUAAAAUCCUCAACACAUUUUCCAGUUUUAACACAACCAUUCUUCUUCCCCUUUUGUCUCUCUGCCUAACAUAACAUCCUAAUGAUGAUCUUGAUGCGCUUUUUCUUCAAUACCGUUCCCACUUUCAGCUUCAUCAUUCUCGCCCACGUCAUCACCUUCUUCAUCACUCACCUCCUCAUCAACUUCUUCAUUUCCGCCAUCAUCUCCAUCGAGGUCCCCAACACUUGGAAUACGACCUCCUGCUGCUUUGGCAGCAUACCCUUCAAGUGAUGCACUAGGAAACAGAUCCCCAACUUUCUUUCCAUCUGUGGUUGCCGGCUUCUCUGAAGUUUUGUUGUUGCUUAUACCUUUGUUCAUCUGAUGCAAAUUGAAACAUAGUAUACAGGGGUAGGCAGAAAAUCAAGCAAAAACCAACCCCGAAUGAUAAAUACUUGAUCAUCCAAUAGUAACGUAUAGAACUAGCAGCCGUUUGAAUGAGGUAUUUUAGACCAAAAUGAUGUGUUUUUUGAGAAUGUAGUAUUUAUGAGGUGCAAAGGACUUGUGAUGGGAGAAUUAUCUUGUUUGGUUAAUCAGUUAUUCAAUGUGGUUGGUAACGAAAAUGAUACAUUCUCGAAAUACCGCAAUAUUUCAAAUACCUAGGGGAUGGGAAGGUAUUUGAAGUUAUUUCAAAUACCACCGUCUAAAUUGCUAUAUAUUUUGUUUUGGUUAUCAAAUGAGUUAUUUUAAUGAGAUAUUUGAAAUAGCUCGAAAGUAAAUUAUUGCAAAGACCGUAGUUUGAAAUACCACAUAUUUUGUGUUGUAUGUCAAACGAGUUAUUUUAACCCAAAUAACUCAAAUGAGUUAUUUGCCAAAAUGUCUCAUCCAAGUACCUCAUCCAAGACCCCUAAUGUAUAUAGCAGCUCAAACUUGAAUGGAUUAGUGACAUCAUCGUCUAGAACCCAAAAGCUACUGUGUGAGAGCCACUUGCUGCUAACUCGAUAAGUAACGUUGACAUCCAGAUCGAUUGCCGAACACAAAAUCUAACAGAUGAUAAUAUUCAGAAUUCACUGAAGACUACGAGUAUCAAGGAAUCUCUAGGAUACUGACAGAUAAUUCGAUAUCUUUUUUCAGCAUUGUCAAAGAAAUAACUAAUAAGUAGAUUAACAUGCGGUAGAACAUACGACCAUCUUAGAGAUAGACCAUACAAGAAGAUUUUCCCUACAUCUUCGAUGGCAACUUUUAUUUUCUCGGAUUCCUAUUAAGUUCUAAUUCUUCUUUUAAUUACCCUGAUUUCAAAUUUUCCUUCUAAAACGAAGCUUUGGGUACACAAAAAGAAACGCUGCAGAGGAUUCUACUAAGAAUCCAAAUUCUCACUACUAGAAAACUCUGUGUUCUGCUCUACUAGCUCUCCAAGAUCCAUCUUUUCUCUUCAAAAAGUAAACUCUCCAAGACCUCUUAUAAACAUGAAAAGAACACAAGUCACAAGGUGCAGAAUCAAUAUAAACUUACUGAGCGCAGGAGGGUCCUCCGAUCUCUUUCUCGAGCAUUUUUAAUGGCCUACAACAAAACAAACGGUAUACUUAUAUAAAAAAAUGACAAGCAUUUUAAGUUUUUAAUGAAAAUCACGGCCAAAUUAAACAACAUACAUCCUCCAGGGUCUUCUGCUCAGCCUCUACUUCAGCAGCAUCCCUGGAAGCACAAACAACACAAGUCUCUCUCACGAUUAGAAUAUAAAGGAAACAUAUGGCUAAAUCCAUAUCCUUUUAACCAAAGAAACAGUAAGCCGGACCUUCCAACAAUGUGGUCCACACGGCAUCGACACUUUGCACAAACCUUUUGCUCCUUUGCGCAACCUAAACAGAACAGUUGCAGGAAAAGCAGUGUUACCAUCAGCAACUAAGUGAUCAACAAGGUAGAAAGCUGAACCCUUUCAAAAAUUAUAAAAUAGCGAAAGUGUGGAAGGAAGUGUACCAGAGCAUAAAUUAUGGUAGGCAUGUCGGACUGCACGUUUGGAACAUUGUUGGCUGCAAAUACGUUAAUAUCCCAUUACUCAAAAUUCUAUCGACUAUAUUGAAACACAAACUACAAGAUGACGUAGAACUCGAUCAACCAUUUUGCAGGCUCGAUGAGAGUCUUGUACUUCCCAUAGCGGCGCUUCCAGUCGAUCUGCUCUUUACAUCUUUGGCACACUCCCGUAAUCGCUGGCAAUGGCCUAAACCUCCCACCCACCUCCUAAUAUUCCAAUUAGAGUUUGAGAAAGUGAGUUGACAUUGUGAAGUUCCACAUGGUCAAAGGGUAGAGCAUAAAUAGAGAAAAGGCACUCUAUCUCUGGUAAGGAAUUACCGUUUCAUUGAUCUUGAUACCGGCCUUGGGCUUCCAGGCAAAUAGAUUUUGGUGCUUUGGGGGGCCGCUUCGACUGCUCAUCUCUUUCUACCUAUUCCCUAUUGACAAAAUGUUUGGGUACCUCAAUAUUUCAAGCAGCUGACCUAAGCUGUAGACUGAAGAAUCGUUUUAAUUAACAACUCAAAACUCAAAGACUACUGAAGCAAGUAUCAAUCCAAAUAAUGCCAGAAAAAUCAUCAGUUCAACUGGAAAGCAUAAUCUCUUCGACUAAAACACAAACUUCAAAGAACAAAACUUUUCACCAAACCCAGAAAAUGAACACAAUGGCCUGCCUAGAAAGGGUUCCAAUGGAACUAAUGGCCUGCCUAGAAAAUGGAACUAAUGAACUAAUGGCCUGCCUAGAAAGGGUUCCAAUGGAACUAAUGGCCUGCCUAGAAAAUUCCAUAAGCAAUAUCAGAGGAAAAUCCGUCUGAAGAUGAAUCGUAAUUCGGUGUAAGAACUCGUUGAGGAAAGUAACCUGUUUUUUAUAAGGAUUUCGAAAGGUCACCGGAACAAAAGCUACGUCGCGGCAGGCGGCGUGAUCAGGAAUGAGAAUACGGGAGGGUUUUUCAGGGCUAAUCUGAUUGAACUAUGAAUGUGAAGUGUUAACACAGUCAUGAAACUACAAACCCUAGUUUCAGGGCUUAAUAUCAAUCGACCUCAUCCACCUAUCAGGUUUGUAACACGGUGGUCAUCCAUCUAUAAAAAAUAGCCUAUAUACCACCAAUCUAUUUUCAUAUUAAUCAAUUGGUUACAUCCUUGCCAUAUCAUUUUUUUAGAAAUAAUAAUGUCAGGAGGCCCAACAUAUUAAGUUUUACCUCAGAAUGAUAUAACGUAUUAAAAAUGUCUAUUGUAACAUAUAUUUAAAAUUUGAUCAUAAAUUUAACGAUUAAAUUUAACAUCGUUGAUUUUUCACUUAACUUCCACUCCGCAUUAGAUAAUAAUAAUAUUUUAAUUAAAAAACUCUUAAUUAAUUCAAAAAAAAUCCCCAAGGAAGAAGACAACCGAAGCUUGUUUCCGCCUUCCGCUCCUCCUGACAAUGGAUUAGAAAAAAUUUAGUUAAAUUUUCUAUGUAAACAUGUUUAAAUGUAUGAUUUUUUAGAACUGUUGGCGACAGAACACCCAUAAAGAAGGUCAACAAUAGAAAUACCUAGCAAACCACCAAUAAAAACUUCUUCAUCAUCGCCACUUAUACCUUUAGCAGCUGAACAGACUUACUGGAAAGACCUUCUUGAUGACUUCCUCAAAUGAGGAAUCCAAGGAGACAUGGUUGCCGAUUUCUGUUUUGCUUGCAACAUUAAUUUUUUACUCUUAUGCGAUUACUCGCUACCCUCUUUUUUUGAGCUCGACGUGUCGUCGUUCUUUGUUCGUAUUUAAGGAGUGAUACCAAUUGCAAUAGCCAAGAAAGAUGGAUUAUUCUCUAGUAGCAUAUAUGAGUAUCAAAGUCUCUUUUCCGUCGUCGAUCAACUUCACAUUCGAUAUUGAUAAAAUCAUAUCCAAAAAUUUAAAAUAAAUAAGAUCCAAAAUUUACAAAUUUGGUCAUGUGUAUAGAUGAAUAAGAUUUUAGAUUUGGUAAAGAAGAGAUUUAAGAAAAGCAGUUGUUGGGUUUAACGAUGGAAAAUGGGGAUGAUAAGAAAAAAGGGGAGAUAGGAUGGCGGUGGCCUGGUGAGAGACGAAUACGAUGAACUUUAUUAUUUUUUAAAUUUUUUUAUUGAGUUUUGAAAAUUCAAUUAAAUAUUGUAUUUUGUAAAAUUAUAAUUAUGUUAUGCCAUGUCAGCUAAUCCAUAUUAGCUUUUAGUGUCAUGUGAAUUUUUAAAGUCCACGUUAGCGAAUGAAAUUUGACGGUUUUAGCGGAAAUUUAAAUUUCGUGUCACAAUAGACAUUUUCAAUAGGUUGCAUCAUUCUGGAUCAAGACUCAAUAGGUUAAGCCUAUUAAGAUCAUUAUUAAUUUUUUUACGAAUAAAUACUUCUGGAAGCCUAAUCUAUGAGAACUACAUUUUGUGGUAUAUAUUUCAGGCUCUGUCGUCUUUGUUAACUUAAAUUUGAAUUUGUAGCGUAUCCAAUGUGGCGGAUGGAUGGCUGACGUGGAGGACGGACAAAAAACAUGAGAUACAGUCAGCUUAGUCAACUCAAAUAAAAUAAAAUAAAAUUGUAAUUGGCUUUUCCACCGAGCGGAAUAUUCUAUUCUGCCGUUGCUCCGUCAAGUCUUUUUGAUGAAAACCAGCGCAAGCUUCUUCUCCAAAGUCUCUCUCUCCUAAGCUUCUUCUUUUUUUUCUCUCUCCCAAGCUUCUUCUUCCCCAAUUUUUUUAACUCUUCUCUCUCCCAAGAUUCUUAUUGAUGGCAAGGGAUCUUCCAUGCCAGAUUGGAGAGCUUCAAUCUCUUAGCGAGUUCCAGUAUCUCGUUGCAGGGUUCAAGGGAGAGAGAUGAAAAUGUCUCCUGGUUGACUGCCCAAUUGAAUAACGCGAGUGUCUGUUGGAAAGGGAUGACAUCGCGAUGACUCUCCGGAAAGAGAUAGCGUUGGGAGAAGCCGUGGGAGAUCAGAGAUGGGAUGGUGAAAUCGGGAAGGCAGUAGGCUUUGGAUUCGGGUUGUGGCGGUAAUGGCGUUUGAUUAAGGAAUAUAAUUUCUCUCGACCAUGCGGCGGCUUCUUCCGGUGGCAGUAUGGUGGAUGCGUGGUUGUCAGAGCCGUCGUUGGAGUUGGAUUCUUCACGCCCUGGAUGGUUGAUUGAUUGUGAGACCGAGGAAUAAGAGAAUGAGGAUUGAAGAAAGCAUUGUGAGGGACGAGGGAGGAAGUAUAGAAGACGACGGCGGAAGCGGAUUGCCGCAAUUAGAGACUGAGAGAUGAAAUUUAAUUUUUAUUUAUUUAUUUAUUUUUAUAUGUUUGCUUAUGUGGCGCUGAUUUGGGAUGAAGUUGCCCCGUCCAGUCAGCAUUAUUUCCUUCUGUCAUAAAAGAAGUUAAUUUUUUUGUCAUUUUAACGGGUAAGGUUAUGGAUGAACAAUUUUCGUUAAAAUUAGUUAAAAUUUGUUUUAUAAAUUGUAUUUUCCAUAAAUGGUGCCAUUUUUUAAAAACUGUUUAUAGAUUGGGCUUCGUAAAUUAUUUAUUCCUUUUUUUUACAUCAUCAUAGAAAACAUAUUAAAACAUCACUAAAGGUCAUACCAAGUUGGCCAUUGAAAGCACCACAAAUCAAGUGAUCUGCCAGCUCCUUUCCUCUCUUCGAGAGGUUUAUCUGUAGAUAGUCUGAAAGUUAAGUAACAGAGCUGCCCAUUCAGUAGCUCGCAUGGCUUUAAGAUAUCUCUAGUAAGUGUUACCGGUAGCCUUCAACUCUAGUAGUAAGUGUUACCGGUAGCCUUCACUCCUAGAGUUGAUGUUCAGAAAUUUUCUUACUCUAUGUGCUUGCUAUCUUCUUGUUUUUACAACGAGUCUAUCUAAGUAAAAAAAACAUGCAUCUCCCUUAAAAAAACAGGAAUCUCCAUUGUAAAAAAACAGGCAUCUCAACUCAACAAGUACAUUAUUCCAUAUACAUAAAAUGUUAGAUUCAGCCACAUAAAUGUUAUUCGGAGACGAGAUUCAACCCAAUCCGAACCUUUCGAGCUGCGGAGAUUGUAACUUAUGUUCACUUAUGUCAAUCUAAUCUCCAACUGCUUUGAUGAUGGACAUAGGGACACUUAGAAACUAAAAUCUAUCAUCGAUUCAAUUCCUCUUCUUUGAAUGGGAGAAAAGGUAACAAAUAGUGACGCAGACAGAUGACAACUGAGGGUUAUCCUUCACUAACUAAAACGCUAAGGUUCAAAUUCAAUGCCGACUAAUAAAUGUGGGAGAUUUAGACUACAUAGCGAAGGUUUGAGAUUAAACCACAAACCAUUGACUGCGCAGCUAGCCUGUGCCAUUCAUCACAUUCCUUUACCAGGAGCUGCAAGAAAGGAAUUGCCUGUACAGAGAGACUAGGAUGACUUGGACUGCAAGGUAACAAAAGAAUUGCCCCUUCUUAAGUAAGGCGAGGUGGGUUGUUUUUCUUAAUGCCAUAACUUGCUGCAGAACCCAUUCCUAGGCCUCUUGCUGGAUACGACAUCCGAGAACGAAUCAACCAACUGUUCGGCUAAGCUACCAUGGUCAUCAUUCAGAGUCCUAAUGAAAGUAUGCACCACUCUCCGCUCCUGUUCCGUUGAUCUCAAGCUAAACCACGUCAGCAAUUUCAGUCUGAAUUCCUGAUCGAUGUGACCUCCACAUUCCAGCAUUCGGAUCGUCUUCACACACGCGACGACCCGACAUUACAUUCAAAUCAAGCCCUUGUAAAGCAGUUGGCAAGUGAAUAUCAUCAUCUCGAGUCUCUGCUAUGGUUAAAGCAGCAUCACAACACUUGUCAGUGCCAGCACUACAGAAACCUUCUACGCCGGCUCGCUCUUGUGCCCACGCCAUACGUAUGAUUUUCCCAAGCUCCCGGACUCUGAAUCCGGAGAAUUCACUCCCUCUUUCGUUAGGAUGAUCAUCCGUCUUACCAUUUUCUACAACAGAAGAAGAACGAGGAUGCUUACGAAUAAUGUCAACACUUUUGGUGAAACACUUGGCCUCUGAAUGACCUAAAUCACCAGAAUCAGUGUAUGACAUAAUUCGAAAUGUAUACUCUGUGCAUGGCUGCAGAUUUGUUAUCAGAAUCCUCCUCUGAGUCUUUGGGAACACACUAACAGGUUCCUUUUGAGGCGUCUCUUCUCGACUCUUGCUAUACCACAGUUUGUAACCCUUAAUAUCAUCAGCAAACGAUGCAGCUGAUAUUUCGAUCAGAAUAAUAAUGACGGAGGAAGAUGUUACUUCUUCAAAGAAAAACCUGCAAGCUGCUGGCAGUGAGCCCUCUGGAAAAUAAGAAAGAAGUGAUUAUUAGGAUUUCCGUAUUGCGGAGUCUGCUGACAAUGCCCCGUGCCAAGUUGGCAGAAACACCGUUUAUCGAGCCAACCUCGGUCUCUAGCUUGGCUUUCGCAACUUUUAUGAAUUCGUGCAACUCUUUGAAUCUUGAAGUUCUGUCCAGUAAUCUAUAACUAAGGUCUAUUCUAUAGCAUAGCACAUCAACACGACGGGCAUCUUUAGCAAUACUCAGCUGCUUCUUCCAGGAUCUGCACGUAUGUAGACAAUUUGACGAUAACGCACCCUUUCUAUAUAGGAUUGCAAGAGAAACGAAAUGAAAAACAAAUACUUACUCUAGAAUGCCAGACACUUUACCACAAGAAGCGCAGCAAUAACUGCCAUCUAGCUGCAUGAGUUGCCCGAGAUCAACAACUCCAACCUUUUCAUGCUGGAAGGCACACUCAAUGUGACAAGAGAGCCCACAAGAAUCCUCAUCACUGGAUUCAGAUGUGCAGAACAACCACAGACUCGGGUCUUUAUUCUCGUCAAAGGAAUGACAGAUACAGCAAGAACAUCUCUUACAAAAUGAGUCCGCAGCAAGAACAUCUCUUGCAAAAUGAGUCCUCGAUGGAUAAGACAGCUCGGCAGGCAGAAUUUUUACAUAUCCACGAGUUUUCACUCCCAAAUUCCGGUGAUUCAUCAGAGGAAUGCACGAUCCGCGCAGGAUUAUCCCCCUUUCUUUUCUGCUUCUUUGAAGAAGACUGAUUAUUGGUGGCAGGAAUUUUCUUUGUUUCCUGCUUCUUGUUCGUUUUGUUACCCAACUGAAGUUCAGUCAUUUUGCCUUUGGAUGAUGCUGAUUGUUUAUUGUCCUUACCAAAGGAAGUACAGAGAAGGGCCUUUCUGGGACCAGAUUUCAGAAACUCUUGAAUUAGCUCUGAACUUCUUGAAGCCUCAUCGGAAUUAUUAUUUUUCUCUCGAGUGCUAUCACACUGGAAGAGAGGUUUUGAACACCAGAAACUGGAAUAAGACAAGGGGCUAAUUUAAGAAAUUGAAAUGCGCUCCAAAAUCUGUCAGAUUAAAAUGCAGAAAGUUCAUCUGCAACAAUUUUCUUUUGUAAGAUUCUCAGCCAUGCAAUAAAACGGAGAGAAUACGGAACCCAAAAACAACCAUUCAAAUAGAAAUCCAUGCAGACGAAGUAACCAAGACAUGACUAGGACAAAGUCAAAAACAUUUUGGUACUGCAGUCAGGAAAACACCUUCCAAUCAAAUUACAGAAGUUUGACAUAAAAGCAGAGAUCUGAAUGCCAGCUCCUAUUGGAAUCAUUCUUACAUCCGGCAGUUUUUGUAAACAACUUCGGUUUGAAAAGAUUUCCUUUUUUUAUCAGAUGCAGAUUCCGAACCAGGGAGCAUGUGAGCAAGAGAAAGUCAUCAGGAACACGGGCCAGGAAAGUGUUAUUCUUCACAAGAAACAAUCUUCAAUUUCAUCAACCUCAGCCUAUGAGCAACUUAGUAACCAUCGAUCGAUUACAAGCCAAACUCAAUUUUGAGAGGUCAGAGACAGACCAUACCUCUGCCGUGGAAUUUAUCAUCCAAGUCCAUUACUAUACAGAUCCGCCCAAUAGCUUUAGCUGCCCUACCUAUGACAAAGAUGCUAGAAAUGUCAGUAAAUUGACAUGGGAAUUCUUAUCCAGAAGCUCAAUCAAAAAUACGUUAACAUGCUACUCAAAUUUAUAGAAUCCAACCCAUUCGUGAGGGGAGACAAAGAAGGAUCGAGAUCAUCAGUUACCCACGUCUUCAAAGUAAGAGAUAAUUUUUAUGUAAGUUGAAUGCCGAAUGCAGAUACUGGUAAAGACAAAAAUGAACAAUGAAACGCACAAACUCCGUAGAGAAAGCAACAAAUUCUAAGAUUCAUACUUAAAAAAACAGUAGCCUAGCUGAACUGGGAACUUCCAGAGAAAGAACAAAAUAGAAGGCCUAGCGAACAAGAACAAAGAUUGGAGUAAACAAGCUCCAAUUGAGAUCAAGGGCAAAGAUAAUGAAGACAAUCAUCUAGAACCCUCGCACCAGUCCCCCUCUCGUCUCCAUUACUCCCAAAAAGAACCAUGUUUCCCUAUCUUCUUCAGAUUAUUUUUUACAAAAAAACCAAUAUAAUUUUAUAUUUUUAAACUCGACCUGCCAAAGCUAUGGAACAAAGUUCCACUACAUCUGAACUCUCGUACAUUGCGUAAAUUCAACGUGAAAAGCAAAUAAUUCACACACAAAAUUCAAAUAUACAAAUUGAAGCAGCUACGUAGAAGCAAAUACCGGAAAGGCAAAAGGAAAAAAGAAAAAUCCUCACGAAUUUCACAAAGCCAUGACGAUAGAAAGAAAAGCAGGCGCAAUAGUCCUGGAAACGUUAAUCGAGUCACAGCUGGUAACUGUAACGGAUCUGGGCACGUAAAAGCUUCCGGCAAAACGAGAAAAGAUAGAAAGUACAAGAGAAAGGAAGAAAAAACCAUGAGAGACGUACCAGCAGGAGCGAGUGGAUAAUAACAGAAGAAAAAUAAGCUCCUAGGGUUUGGAAUGGGACCAGCAAAAAGCCCAAGGACGAAGAAGAAGAAGUAGAAGAAGAAAUUUCUCUCUGUGAAAGAGGAGAAUCCAAAGAUGCAGAGAGGAGAGAGAGGAAUUAGCUUCCUGCUGCUAAUCUAUUGUUGCUCUGUUUGGCGAGAAAGAGAAAAUAAAAUAAAAAAGAAAUGCCGGUAACGAGAUGUGAGCGCGGAAGGGGAGGUGGUGGGGAAACUUUACGCGCGAGUGCCGGUGCGUAUAUUUGUUGGGCGAGUUGAAGUUACGUUGAGCACCGUCACGUGGUAUUAUUGGUACGUGAAAGUAACCCCAGGCUGCGCUAGCGCGUUAUUAUUUCUGCUUGUAUAUUUUUAUUUCAGGAUUUUCGGAAUCUUUUUACUUCCUGACUCUUUUCUUGCAAUUAAUUAUUUUCGCAGGGUGUUUUUUUAUACAAAAUAUUCAAAAUGUGAUAAGUUUAGGUAUAUAUCGAGAAAUGUUGCAACUUUUAUAUAGAUUUUUUGUCACCGAAUUUGAAGUUUCGGACGAACUAUGUCACGCUGUUAAUUUGUGCUUCACUCCGUCCACAAAAUUCGCCCUAGCCCGUACAUGUCAGAUUUGUACCGCUGAUGUGGCAUUCAAUUAUUUCUAAUUAAAACAGAUUUUAUUAACACAUUCUCCAUCUCCUCCAAACCAAAUUCCCUUUUCACCUUCUCGUCCCCCGCCUCUAUCGAAGGUAGACCGUUGUGACUGUGUGAUCGAAGAUAGCCUUGGAAUCUCGUGUACAUGUAGGCUUGAAUCUAUGGAAUGUGACAGGGUUUGGUUGAAAUCAUACCACCUCCACUAAUUUUUGCGAUCAUUGGAGUACACUAGCUUCUAAACAGUGAGAAGUGGGAAGAUCAUGACCGCGACAUUCUGAGCGGGAUGGUACAGACGAUUUGUGACAGCGGUGGGACUGCUAUACAGGCUUCCCGUAAAUUGGUUCAGUCGUAGUUCCAACCCGAAUCGGAGAAUGUGAAAGAGCCUAAAACGUCUGAGGCCCCAAAGGGUAGACCUCGUGCACGAAAGGCAGACGGCUGGAACCCUUCUUAGCACGAGCAUGCGAGUGCUCAUUGUACCCCGACCAAGGGCAAACCCAAGUCAGGUUCGCACGAUUUUAUACUACAUCACUGUCUUCAUCUUAUCGGUUGUGAUCACAAAAUAGCAUAACGUUACAGAUCAUUCAAACGCCUGUGAAGGGUACACCCACACCAAGCAUGUCGGGAGCCACUCCAGCAAGAUCCAUUCCAUGUAGAGGUGUGUAGCAGAUUCUUGAUCACGUCUAUGGAACUAUUGUACUAGAAUAAAAUCACCGUCCUAAUUAUUUAUUGCACCUCUAAAAUUUGAGUGCAACUCUUUAUCCAGUAUAUCCCCAUCGGACUCCGUGGACUGCUAAACAACGUGUUUGACGUUAUCGACGAUGGCCAUUGCGGGUUUAGAUGCGUGUCCCACUCAGUUCACGACUCGUGGAAAUGAGAUAGGAGCUUAUGGAUCAUGUUGUUUACUUGGCAAGUUGGUACCAUAUGGAGAAGAGUUGGAGACCAUUCUAGCAAGGUUAGGUUGGCUGAGCAAGGAACCAUGUGACGACCAAUGAUGGUUCUGGAACCUGGACCUGUUCGGAUUUGCCACUAUGCACAGUUGGACUUAUGUUGUGUUCGGCAUUGGGGGAUGGUCUCCCAUAUAAGGAGACAUUUCUUCUGUUGAGACUCCGGCGUGGGACACAGUCGUCAGAGAUGUGUGACGUACCUCGUGUGUACCAGUAAUCAUUGGGUGCGGUUAUAUUUGGAUGCUGACGACGUGGUGUUUUUAAUUUUGCAGCCGAACGCGUGGAAUUAUUGGGCCGAUGAAAGUGCAAAAGUGUGUGGGUGGGCAGUUUGUAUCAUGAUGAACGUGCAAAGUAUGAUAUGUUGGUUCCACCGCGUAAGUAGAUGACACUGUAAUCUCAUAUGUGUACUAAACGCUUGCAGUACGGUUUCCUAUUUGUUAAUCUAGCUCCAUUGACUCUUAAUUAUAUUUAAAUACCGUAACUCUUAAUUAUAUUUAAAUACCGUAACGUAAAAAAUGCAAACCAACAGGAAGGACGGGUCCAUUAGUCUUGUUCCGCCGGACGGAAAUCCCAUUCGUCCGGUUAGUUUUGACGGACGAAAAUUUCGUCUGUCUGGUUAGUUCUGUCCUAUUUUGGUUGUCGUACCUAGCUAUUCAUCCUUGUUAUAAUUAAUUACAUGUCAUUCAUACCUCGUUACAUAUAAGUCGUUAUACUCUGGUAUAGCGAUGUUAAACUCAUUAUAACUUGGUAUUCAUUAAAAACUUGUUACAACUUGUUAUAAGUAGGUAUUCAUUCAUGGUUUAACAGAAAACGUUUUUCAUGCAUAAUGUCAACCAUAACAGAAUCGCAUACUUAACAAAAUAGAGCAACAAAUAGAACAUAAUUGUAUGUCAUCUGCAACAGAGUCUCAUACAAAACAACAACAAAAUACAUGAACGUCUAAAACAUAACACUAACUGAGCAUAACGAACAUACCACUGUCUAGCGGUACGGUCCCUGCGCGUGGAAGUCCAUGUAGAGGUCCUCCAUGCUGGAACGCAGCUCCUCUAACUGUGUGAGUUACACACUGCCAGUCUCGAACUGGUGUGCAAGCAAACCGUUUAAGUAGGGGUGUAGAUGAUCUAACAUCCAGUAAGCCGACUGUACAAAGAAAAACAAAACUCAUUAAUCGUGUAUAAAGGUGCAAUAAUUAAUACAAUUCGAGAAUCACACUUACCAUAUAGGUCGACAAGCGAGCACCCCACUUACCAUAUCGAUCGACAAGCGAGCACCACUAAAAAUCGGGACUAAAAUGUGUGGGUGGUUGUGCCGUACCUACAACUCCAUAUAGCGCGGCUUGACAUCGACGUUGUCCUCCACACAUCGAAACAAAGUCUGAAGUGAGAUAAGUCGAACGUAUUUGGGGUCAGUCCAGGAAAAAUCCCGAGUUGGAUCCCACUCAACCACAUAUCCAUUAGCCUCAGCUAACCUAACAACCCUAAUGGGACGGACGAUAUGCGGAGGAAUCAUCUGCAUGUAGCCAAACUGUCUAACCACACUGGUGGGGUCGUAGUACUCGGGGGUAGUAGCGUAACAAAUCACCCCACGAAACACUGAAUCAGGAACCUCUAGCUCGGGCCAGUGACCGAAAGGCAGCCAAGUCACAUCAUGUGCGGUCAUAUCAUUGAGAAGAUGACGAUAACACUCUAACCUAUGGUUCUUGAACUUGUAUGGCCUCUCUAACUGCUCGCCACUACUCCACCUCCACCUAAAGCCUCACCCUCGCCCCGUUCCCGACACACUACUCUAGUAGAACGAGUACUAGAGAAAUGCUCGUGGAUCCAAGACUAAAGUAGUGUCGGACCGCCAACCAUCCCCUUGCACGAGGCAUGACUAGCCUUGUCGAGCUCGUGGUAUAACCAUGCUUGCGCGCCCUGGCCCCCAAGUGUACCGCAACAUCCCCCAUAAAGUACUCCCACAACACGAGACGAGUCUGAUCCACUUAAUUAUCUGUAAAUAAAGCAUAGAUCUCCCUUAAAAGAAAAUAGGCAUCUCAACUCAACAAGUGCAUUAUUCCAUAUACAAAAAAUGUUAGAUUGAGCCACAUAAAUGUUAUUACGGAGACGAGAUUCAACCCAAUCCGAACCUUUCGAGCUGUGGAGAUUGUAACUCAUGUUCACUUAUGUCAAUCUAAUCUCCAACUGCUUUGAUGAUGGACAUAGGGACACUUAGAAACUAAAAUCUAUCAUCGAUUCAAUUCCUCUUCUUUGAAUGGGAGAAAAGGUAACAAAUAGUGACGCAGACAGAUGACAACUGAGGGUUAUCCUUCACUAACUAAAACGCUAAGGUUCAAAUUCAAUGCCGACUAAUAAAUGUGGGAGAUUUAGACUACAUAGCGAAGGUUUGAGAUUAAACCACAAACCAUUGACUACGCAGUUAGCCUGUGCCAUUCAUCACAUUCCUUUACCAGGAGCUGCAAGAAAGGAAUUGCCUGUACCGAGAGACUAGGAUGACUUGGACUGCAAGGUAACAAAAGAAUUGCCCCUUCUUAAGUAAGGCGAGGUGGGUUGUUUUUCUUAAUGCCAUAACUUGCUGCAGAAUCCAUUCCUAGGCCUCUUGCUGGAUACGACAUCCGAGAACGAAUCAACCAACUGUUCGGCUAAGCUACCAUGGUCAUCAUUCAGAGUCC
rnacentral:lncRNA from 1 species